GUGAUCACAGUUAUUUCUGCUACCGUUGAAAAAUUCGUUUGUCUUUCUUGUGUUUUAGGCCUUAUCUGAUUUCAUUUAGGCUUUUUAAGAUGCUCGAUAAGAAACGUUAAUUAUUUCAUUCUUGUUAAUUCUUUUGAUCCUUCUAAAGCUAUGAGGAAGAAUGAACAGUGCCUGCCAAAUGUUAUGAUUUAGGAAUUAGUUUUUCACCCUUAUGUGUAAAAUUUAUCACACAUGCAUCUCUUUUAAACUCUGAACUAAUCUCUCCUUACAUAUCUGAAAAUAACCUCAAUUUACCUACCCAAGAAUUCAUAAUCAUAUGUUCCAAAGCCAACCCAUCCUUUUCCAGAACAUUUUUUCUUGUCCAAAAAUUUUGCAAAAUGAUUUCAUUUGAAACAUCUUUUCUUCGAUCCUCCCUGGAGAAAAU
rnacentral:misc_RNA from 1 species